rnacentral:rRNA from 1 species
ACGAAGGGUGCAAACGUUGCUCGGAAUUAUUGGGCGUAAAGCGCACGUAGGCGGCAUUGCAAGUCGGAUGUGAAAUCCCUCGGCUUAACCGGGGAACUGCGUCUGAUACUGGAUGGCUUGAGUUCGGGAGAGGGAUGCGGAAUUCCAGGUGUAGCGGUGAAAUGCGUAGAUAUCUGGAGGAACACCGGUGGCGAAGGCGGCAUCCUGGACCGAUACUGACGCUGAGGAGCGAAAGCCAGGGGAGCAAACGGGA